rnacentral:rRNA from 1 species
AGUGAACGCUGGCGGUAGGCCUAACACAUGCAAGUCGAACGGCAGCACAGUAAGAGCUUGCUCUUACGGGUGGCGAGUGGCGGACGGGUGAGGAAUACAUCGGAAUCUACUUUUUCGUGGGGGAUAACGGAGGGAAACUUACGCUAAUACCGCAUACGACCUACGGGUGAAAGCAGGGGAUCUUCGGACCUUGCGCGAUUGAAUGAGCCGAUGUCGGAUUAGCUAGUUGGCGGGGGAAAGGCCCACCAAGGCGACGAUCCGUAGCUGGUCUGAGAGGAUGAUCAGCCACACUGGAACUGAGACACGGUCCAGACUCCUACGGGAGGCAGCAGUGGGGAAUAUUGGACAAUGGGCGCAAGCCUGAUCCAGCCAUACCGCGUGGGUGAAGAAGGCCUUCGGGUUGUAAAGACCUUUUGUUGGGAAAGAAAAGCAGCAGGUUAAUACCCCGCUGUUCUGACGGUACCCAAAGAAUAAGCACCGGCUAACUUCGUG